UUCUUCUUCCUCCCCUCCGUGAUCUCUUCAUCUUCUCCAUCACUAUCUCUUUCUCCCCGGUUGGAAGAUACAACCAUCCAGAUCUCUUCCUCUUGAUUAUCUCCCUCCUCCCCAUUGGAAAACAAAUGGAUCUCCUCUCUCAAAAAGAAGGCAUGGAUUUCAUGCUCACGGAUCUUUUUGCAUCAAAAUAGUUUUCCUCAUCUGUACCAGAUCCGUAUUUUCACAUGGAAUUUGUUUUCUUGCAGGUUCGACUGUUGGUUUUCCUUUGGAUUUUGAUUCAUGUUUUUAUCUAUCGUGUCUUCUCAACUUUUUGUGCUCUCCACGGAUUGGAUCUUGAAUCUUCUCAUGUACAGUUUUUUGGUGUCUCAUGGAGAUCUGGUCUACAAUUGGAUCAACCAUGGCUUUUUAAUUGGAGUCCGAUUCAACUUUUUCUCUACCGUGUCCUCUCAUUGUUUUGUGCUCUCCACAGAUUGGAUCCUUUGUCUUCUCACCUAUAAUUCUGGGAUGACUCAUGGAGAUCAGGUAGGAGCACACCAACUUUACCCAUCUGCUCGAUGACUCAUGGAGAUCAGGUAGGAGCACACCAACUAUCCCCAUCUUCUCAAGAUUCUCCCACUUUGUGCAAAGCUUGCCUCUGAUCUGUUGCUGUCAUUGUUCUGUUUGUUAGAUCCUACAUGUUGCUUACAUAGUGCAGAUUCACCGACUAAUCAUAGGGUCUACUCUCUUUUUUCUAAUUAAAGCCUUGGAUUUGCCAGCAGCUUUGCUUGAGACUAAACAAGUACAAAUCCUAAGAAUUUUUAUGAUCUUUUACCUGUUAAUCUUUUCUAUUCCUUUAAUUUUUUAUAUUCGAGUUAUACUUUCUUUCGUUUUUGUAGUAUAAGGUUUAAAAUAAUACAGCUAACCUCAAUGGAGAAGGAUUCCCAUGCAAAGUGAAGGCCAGAGUAGUUACACCAAUGAGUAGUUACGCCAACGAGAAAGAUUCCUAGAAAGGGAAGGCUGGAGUAAUUCGUCUAUGGAACGCCAUUAACGUCGACAGCAAUGAACUUAUUUGACUUGACAUGAUACUAGAUGAAGAGGUCAGCCUAUUGGUAAAAUUAUAUGAUUUGCCAACAGAAAGAUGGUAGUAUGAGUUAUAGUACUUAUUACAAAUACAGAAGCAUCUUCUCGCUGCAUUACAUGGCACUAUAUUGGCUUAGCUGCAUGUGUAUCUCUAUGAUGUUAUUAAUCCGUGCAAGUAUCAGACAAUAAAUUUUUUGCAUGGCCACCAUUGCAGCUGGCCACCAUCGUGAUGGCGGAUUCAUCAUGCUACUGCUUCUUGGUUGGAACGUCGUGGCUGCACGGCCAGUCGACAUGCAACGCCAAUGCAAAGGCAUGUGCACUCACUACUUUAUUCCCAUGCUUCCAGUCGCAGGUGCAUUCAGCUCGCCAAGUUCUGGAUCUAGGGGUACAUGUGAUGGCUUGCUAGAGCAUCACGUACAUAUAAGGUUUCCAUGUUAGAGUAUGUUGUUUCCAGUUAUUUAUCUGGAAGGCGAUCAGUCGAUUGGUGAGGCCAUAAAUGGCUGUCUAUGGUUGUCUCCAGGUAACAAUUUUUUCCCCGAGCUAGCAUCUUAGUUGGACACAGGUUAUUGUCUGCAACUACUCAUGUUUCAGGCAAUAGACUUUGCCUGCUAACAGAAAAUGUUCUAAUGUUAUGGACAUUGUUCACAUGGCUGGAGUUCUAACGUUUAUAGCUAAGGACCUUAUCCAUGAAAGGAUUCUAACUAAAUUUUUUUGAGAGUUGAAGACCGAGUUGGAGCAGAACUAUGGCAACCAUGUCGUGCUAAAUACGGCCUAUGAGCUAUGCAUGUCGUCAAUACGUUACCUAAUACAUGGGAGGCUCAUGUUAGACUUGGCAAUGUUCUCUCGAUCUUUUUUCUAUCGGAUUUUUGUACUGCAAAAUUGAAUUGCUUCUAAGUAAGGAUUAGCCUUCACCUCAGUCCAUGCAUUUUAACUUUGUAAAUAUUUUAAGGUUAAACUUAUGAUGAAUGCAUGCCCCAGUUUAGAGUGGUGACGACUAUUGUAAACAUGUUUGGUUCAAGAUUUAUUUUUUGUUU